UACGUAGGGUCCAAGCGUUAUCCGGAAUUACUGGGCGUAAAGAGUUGCGUAGGUGGCAUAGAAAGCGGACAGUGAAAGCGUGUGGCUCAACCAUACAUCCAUUGUCUGAACUCCUAAGCUAGAGGACGAGAGAGGCAGAUGGAAUUCUUGAUGUAGGGGUAAUAUCCGUAGAUAUCAGGAGGAACACCGAUGGCGUAAGCAGUCUGCUGGCUCGUUCCUGACACUAAGGCACGAAAGCGUGGGGAGCAAACAGG
rnacentral:rRNA from 1 species